GUGACGUUGUGAGAGUUCAUUAAACCUUAUCAUUUAGAGGAAGGAGAAGUCGUAACAAGGUUUCCGUAGGUGAACCUGCGGAAGGAUCAUUG
rnacentral:rRNA from 1 species